GGUAGCGAUCCAUUUGCUGAUAAUACGCGAUUGCUCCAGAGGAGCUGGUGUUGAUACUGACUCGGAAGGGGGUAAGCGGGGCCCCGACAGGCUGUGUUUUCCUCACUCCGUGUAUGUGAGUGGAAACAGAGCGUUCGUCACAGGAACGUGAUUGCAUAGAUGAAACACUGAGCUCAGAUCAGACCCAUAAUAACAAGCCCUCGAUUAAGCUAGUUCAGGAACAUUCCACGUCCAUUUCUGUAUUCCGUCUGCACUUGGUUGUGAGUGUACGGCUGGCCCUCUUCCAGGAUAAAUCAUGUCUCAGCCCACACAUCACCUCUUCAGACAGGCUUCCCUGACCACUGGCCAUCCGUCCCCCAGCCCAGAAUCAUGUUGGACACCAAUCCCAGUGGCGGAGACAUCACAGCUGGGAAAUACUUGGUGUUAUUUUAACCACGUAGCAAUACCUGAGCCGCGUGCACCAUUACCAGUGUCUCUAAGAGCCACACGUGCCCCCCGCCCCACUUUCACCGUGGUGAAAAUUCUCCUACAGAGUAAUGGAACUUCGCUGGUUCCCAGUGUAGGGAAAGAGCUCGUGGAACUCUGCCUGCUCUCCGGAGGACUGGGUCAGUUGUUGAUUAACCAUCUCCGCGCUGAAGCUCCACACCAUGUGAGAGGUUUCAUAACAAUUUCUAAGAAGGAUUUGUGCUCUUUGAAGCAAAAUGAUUCAUGUAAGGAGCCUGGGCGCACUGAUGAAAUGUCUUCUCGGGAAACAAAAGAAGAUGGGGGCGCCUGGGUGAAUUAAGCAUCUGACUUCCGCUCAGGUCACGAUCUCGCGGUUCGUGAGUUCAAGUCCCACUUCUGGGAACACGAGCCCCACUUCGGGUAAAACAUGAGUCCCAUUAUUUUGGGGUGAGCC